UACGGGGGGGGCAAGCGUUGUUCGGAAUUACUGGGCGUAAAGGGCUCGUAGGUGGCCAACUAAGUCAGACGUGAAAUCCCUCGGCUUAACCGGGGAACUGCGUCUGAUACUGGAUGGCUUGAGUUCGGGAGAGGGAUGCGGAAUUCCAGGUGUAGCGGUGGAAUGCGUAGAUAUCUGGAGGAACACCGGUGGCGAAGGCGGCAUCCUGGACCGACACUGACGCUGAGGAGCGAAAGCCAGGGGAGCAAACGGG
rnacentral:rRNA from 1 species